AGGGAAAGGCGAAAAGAACCCCGGCGAGGGGAGUGAAAUAGAACCUGAAACCGUGUACGUACAAGCAGUGGGAGCACCUUCGUGGUGUGACUGCGUACCUUUUGUAUAAUGGGUCAGCGACUUAUAUUUUGUAGCAAGGUUAACCGUAUAGGGGAGCCGUAGGGAAACCGAGUCUUAACUGGGCGAAUAGUUGCAAGGUAUAGACCCGAAACCCGGUGAUCUAGCCAUGGGCAGGUUGAAGGUUGGGUAACACUAACUGGAGGACCGAACCGACUAAUGUUGAAAAAUUAGCGGAUGACUUGUGGCUGGGGGUGAAAGGCCAAUCAAACCGGGAGAUAGCUGGUUCUCCCCGAAAGCUAUUUAGGUAGCGCCUCGUGAACUCAUCUUCGGGGGUAGAGCACUGUUUCGGCUAGGGGGCCAUCCCGGCUUACCAAACCGAUGCAAACUCCGAAUACCGAAGAAUGUUAUCACGGGAGACACACGGCGGGUGCUAACGUCCGUCGUGAAGAGGGAAACAACCCAGACCGCCAGCUAAGGUCCCAAAGUCAUGGUUAAGUGGGAAACGAUGUGGGAAGGCAUAGACAGCCAGGAUGUUGGCUUAGAAGCAGCCAUCAUUUAAAGAAAGCGUAAUAGCUCACUGGUCGAGUCGGCCUGCGCGGAAGAUGUAACGGGGCUAAACCAUGCACCGAAGCUGCGGCAGCGACGCUUAGGCGUUGUUGGGUAGGGGAGCGUUCUGUAAGCCGUUGAAGGUGGCCUGUGAGGGUUGCUGGAGGUAUCAGAAGUGCGAAUGCUGACAUAAGUAACGAUAAAGCGGGUGAAAAGCCCGCUCGCCGGAAGACCAAGGGUUCCUGUCCAACGUUAAUCGGGGCAGGGUGAGUCGACCCCUAAGGCGAGGCUGAAAAGCGUAGUCGAUGGGAAACAGGUUAAUAUUCCUGUACUUGGUGUUACUGCGAAGGGGGGACGGAGAAGGCUAGGCUAGCCGGGCGACGGUUGUCCCGGUUUAAGCGUGUAGGGGGUGUGACCUGGUAAAUCCGGUUACAUAUCAACCCUGAGGCGUGAUGACGAUGCACUACGGUGCAGAAGUAGUUGAUGCCCUGCUUCCAGGAAAAGCCUCUAAGCUCCAGGUAACAUUAAAUCGUACCCCAAACCGACACAGGUGGUCAGGUAGAGAAUACCAAGGCGCUUGAGAGAACUCGGGUGAAGGAACUAGGCAAAAUGGUGCCGUAACUUCGGGAGAAGGCACGCUGGCAUGUAGGUGAAGUCCCUUGCGGAUGGAGCUGAAGCCAGUCGAAGAUACCAGCUGGCUGCAACUGUUUAAUAAAAACACAGCACUGUGCAAACACGAAAGUGGACGUAUACGGUGUGACGCCUGCCCGGUGCUGGAAGGUUAAUUGAUGGGGUCAGCCGCAAGGCGAAGCUCUUGAUCGAAGCCCCAGUAAACGGCGGCCGUAACUAUAACGGUCCUAAGGUAGCGAAAUUCCUUGUCGGGUAAGUUCCGACCUGCACGAAUGGCGUAAUGAUGGCCAGGCUGUCUCCACCCGAGACUCAGUGAAAUUGAACUCGCUGUGAAGAUGCAGUGUACCCGCGGCAAGACGGAAAGACCCCGUGAACCUUUACUAUAGCUUGACACUGAACAUUGAGCCUUGAUGUGUAGGAUAGGUGGGAGGCUUUGAAGCGUGGACGCCAGUCUGCGUGGAGCCAUCCUUGAAAUACCACCCUUUAAUGUUUGAUGUUCUAACUCGGCCCCGUGAUCCGGGGUGAGGACAGUGUCUGGUGGGUAGUUUGACUGGGGCGGUCUCCUCCCAAAGAGUAACGGAGGAGCACGAAGGUUAGCUAAUCACGGUCGGACAUCGUGAGGUUAGUGCAAAGGCAUAAGCUAGCUUGACUGCGAGAGUGACGGCUCGAGCAGGUACGAAAGUAGGUCUUAGUGAUCCGGUGGUUCUGAAUGGAAGGGCCAUCGCUCAACGGAUAAAAGGUACUCCGGGGAUAACAGGCUGAUACCGCCCAAGAGUUCAUAUCGACGGCGGUGUUUGGCACCUCGAUGUCGGCUCAUCACAUCCUGGGGCUGAAGUAGGUCCCAAGGGUAUGGCUGUUCGCCAUUUAAAGUGGUACGCGAGCUGGGUUUAGAACGUCGUGAGACAGUUCGGUCCCUAUCUGCCGUGGGCGUUGGAAGAUUGAGAGGGGUUGCUCCUAGUACGAGAGGACCGGAGUGAACGCACCACUGGUGUUCGGGUUGUCAUGCCAAUGGCAUUGCCCGGUAGCUAAGUGCGGAAAAGAUAAGCGCUGAAAGCAUCUAAGCGCGAAACUUGCCUCAAGAUGAGUCUUCCCUGGGCCUUCAAGGCCCCUGAAGGAACGUUUAAGACUAAGACGUUGAUAGGCUGGGUGUGUAAGUGCAGCGAUGCAUUGAGCUAACCAGUACUAAUGAUCCGUGAGGCUUAACCUUACAACACCGAAGGUGUUU
rnacentral:rRNA from 1 species